AUAUCCCUGCCGUGUUCGUUGGCAAUGCUUGACAAUAGGUGAACCAACACAAUAUGUAUGGGAGCUUCGAUUCUUCUACGCCUUGGCGUAAAGAGAGAGCACCCACCUGAUACCGUAAGGUUCAGCCGUCGAGCGCCAACGACACAGUGCGGGGAUUUU
rnacentral:other from 1 species